rnacentral:lncRNA from 1 species
AAUUGUGUUUAAUUGUCCGGUAUUUUCCUGUUUUUCCUAAUUAUGCUUAAUUUGGUCGGAAAUUCGUAAUUGUGCUAAUUUGAAUUUUCUGAGCUAAUUAAUUGCAUUUUUGGGUGCAGGGAAAUUUUGGAAACAUCAUUUNGAGCAUUAGGGAAGGUGUCGUGAUCAUUCAAGACUCAACAUUUAGUCACUUCCAUUUUAAUUAAGUUGUAAUUUCGUUUUUAGAAACUUUAAUCAAACUUAAGUGCAUUUGGGCCCUUUUUGGUGGCAAAAUUGUAGAAGCCCAAUGUGUGGGACACUUUGCAUAGACCCUAGGGUUUCCUUAGAGGUGGACCCCACCAUUUUAAGUCUUGGAAGGCAUUUUAGAAUGGCAAGACUGAGACACACACUUCUAGUCUCCACUUUUCAUUUCACUUUGCAUGUAUGAACUCUCUCUUGGAGACCAUGUAGGGUUUUACGUUUUUGGAGCUAUGGAAUGACCAAGAUCGUGUUUUUCUUCUUCUCUUACUUAAAUCUUGUUUAUCUUUGCUUGGUGGAAGUGAAUCCCUCACCCAUUUUCCUUUCAUUUCUUCUUGAAAGUUGAGAGCAUGAGCUUGAGUCUUGAGGUGGUUUCUUGCAUUUUUCAUUAUGGGUCUUUGGUUUGAAUGAAGAGCUAUUUCGUUUUUCUCCUUCUUUGCUGCCAUAUUUUCAUAUUUACUUUGAGUUUCUUGGAUUGGAUCAUGAAAAUGAAGUUCUUGUUAAGUUUGGUAGUGAAAAAGGCUUGAGUUGGUGUAUGGGUGUUUCAUGUUUGAACCCUUUUCUUCUUGUGCUUUUGUUGAUGGUUGGAAGNAAUAUUUGGAGCUGGACAUUUUGUUUGUUGAUGAUGGCUGGACGGUGCAGCAAGGGGAGCUAGGGAUUGGAUUUUGUUUUCCUUAAAAGUUUGAAGAAAAGUGAGUNUUGAAGUUGGGUUGAAGAAGAUAAACUUUGGGUUUGUUGUGCUUGUGUUAUUUUGAUGUUGAACUUUGGAAUUCUUGUGCUCAUUCUCGGUAUUCAGAUGUGGAGAGACAAUUUGAAGGUUGGUGUUGGUGAGAAAAACGAAAAUGGAN